GUCGUCGUGAGGCGAGGUGGGGAGGAAGCCCGAGGCGAAACCCUGCACCGAGGAACGCGAACCGCGUAUGAGGCAUGCCAGCUGGGGUGAGCCUGCAUGCUACGGCGAAGCCCGUCACUGCCAAGACGGCUGGUGUGUAAACGCGGCGGUUGCAGGGGGAAAGUGAUCGUU
rnacentral:ncRNA from 1 species